CCUACGUGAGGCAGCAGUGGGGGAUAUUGCACAAUGGGGGGAACCCUGAUGCAGCGACGCCGCGUGGGUGAAGGAGUGCUUCGGCAUGUAAAGCCCUAUCGGCAGGGAAGAAGCAAGACGGUACCUGACUAAGAAGCCCCGGCUAACUACGUGCCAGCAGCCGCGGUAAUACGUAGGGGGCGAGCGUUAUCCGGAUUCACUGUGUGGAAAGGGAGCGUAGACGGCCAUGCAAGCCAGGGGUGAAAGCCCGGGGCCCAACCCCGGGACUGCCCUUGGAACUGUGCGGCUAGAGUGCGGGAGGGGCAGGCGGAAUUCCUGGUGUAGCGGUGAAAUGCGUAGAGAUCAGGAGGAACACCGGCGGCGAAGGCGGCCUGCUGGACCGCGACUGACGUUGAGGCCCGAAAGCGUGGGGAGCGAACAGGAUUAGAUACCCCUGUAGUC
rnacentral:rRNA from 1 species